GACGAACGCUGGCGGUGUGCUUAACACAUGCAAGUCGAACGGUAAGGCCCUUUCUGGGGUACACGAGUGGCGGACGGGUGGGUAACAAGUGCGUAAGCUGCCCUCAUCUCUGGGAUAACAGACGGAAACGGUUGCUAGUACUGGAUAUGAAGCUGCUAGGCAUCCUGUGGGUGGGAAAGAUUUUUUGGGUGGGGGUGGACUCGCGGCCUAUCAGCGUGUUUGUGAGGUGGUGGCUCACCAAGGCUUCGAAGGGUAGCCGGCCUGGGAGGGCGACCGGCCACAUUGGGGAUUAGGUACGGCCCAAACCCCCACGGGGGGCAGCAGGGGGGAAUAUUGCACAAUGGACGGGAGUCCGAAGCAGGAACGCCGCGGGCGGGAUGACCGGCUUCGGGUUGGAAACCGCUUUCAAUUGUGACGAAGCUGUGUGUGACGGUAGCAGUAGAAGAAGCACCGGCUAACUACGUG
rnacentral:rRNA from 1 species